rnacentral:rRNA from 1 species
ACAACUUUUAACAACGGAUCUCUUGGCUCUCGCAUCGAUGAAGAACGCAGCGAAAUGCGAUAAGUAAUGUGAAUUGCAGAAUUCAGUGAAUCAUCGAAUCUUUGAACGCACCUUGCGCUCUUUGGUAUUCCGAAGAGCAUGCCUGUUUGAGUGUCAUU